AUUGAACGCUGGCGGCAGGCCUAACACAUGCAAGUCGAGCGAGCGGCGGACGUGUGAGUAAUGCCUGGGAAUUGCCCAGUCGAGGGGUAUAACAGUUGGAAACGACUUCUUAUACCGCAUACGCAGGUGUUCCCCAUGGGGGAUUAGCUAGUUGGGGGGGUAAGGGCUCACCAAGGCGACGAUCCCUAGCUGGUCUGAGAGGAUGAUCAGCCACACUGGAACUGAGACACGGUCCAGACUCCUACGGGAGGCAGCAGUGGGGAAUAUUGCACAAUGGGGGAAACCCUGAUGCAGCCAUGCCGCGUGUGUGAAGAAGGCCUUCGGGUUGUAAAGCACUUUCAGCGAGGAGGCGUUACCCGCAGAAGAAGCACCGGCUAACUCCGUGCCAGCAGCCGCGGUAAUUC
rnacentral:rRNA from 1 species